rnacentral:rRNA from 1 species
GACGAACGCUGGCGGCGUGCUUAACACAUGCAAGUCGAACGGAAAGGCCUGCUUUCCCUUGUGGAUUGCGGGUACUCGAGUGGCGAACGGGUGAGUAACACGUGAGUGAUCUGCCCCCAACUUGGGUAUAAGCCUGGGAAACUGGGUCUAAUUCCCGAUAGGACUGCAGGGUGGUGCCUGUGGUGGAAAACGAUUUUCUAGUGGUUGGGGAUGAGCUCGCGGCCUAUCAGCUUGUUGGUGGGGUAAUGGCCUACCAAGGCGGCGACGGGUAGCCGGCCUGAGAGGGUGGACGGGCACAUUGGGACUGAGAUACGGCCCAGACUCCUACGGGAGGCAGCAGUGGGGAAUAUUGCACAAUGGGCGGAAGCCUGAUGCAGCGACGCCGCGUGGGGGAUGACGGCCUUCGGGUUGUAAACUCCUUUCGACCGCGAGGAAGCCACCUGGUUGGAAGGGGGGUGACGGUAGUGGUAGAAGAAGCACCGGCUAACUACGUG